rnacentral:rRNA from 1 species
UAAGCAUGUAGUGAAAUUUCAGGGCUCAACCUUGAAACUGUUACAUGAACUGACAAACUAGAGAAUAUGAGGGGUACCUGGAAUUUCUGGUGUAGGAGUGGAAUCCGUAGAUAUCAGAAGGAACACCAAUGGCGUAGGCAGGGUACUGGCAUAUUUCUGACGCUAAGGCACGAAAGCGUGGGGAGCGAACGGGAUUAGAUACCCCGGUAGUCCACGCCGUAAACGAUGGAUGCUA